CAGCAGCCGCGGUAAUACGGAGGAUCCAAGCGUUAUCCGGAAUCAUUGGGUUUAAAGGGUCCGUAGGCGGUCUUGUAAGUCAGUGGUGAAAGCCCAUCGCUCAACGGCGGAACGGCCAUUGAUACUGCAGGACUUGAAUUAUUGGGAAGUAACUAGAAUAUGUAGUGUAGCGGUGAAAUGCUUAGAGAUUACAUGGAAUACCAAUUGCGAAGGCAGGUUACUACCAAUUGAUUGACGCUGAUGGACGAAAGCGUGGGUAGCGAACAGGAUUAGAUACCCCUGUAGUCCCUGUCUCUUAUAC
rnacentral:rRNA from 1 species